GACGAACGCUGGCGGCGUGCCUAAUACAUGCAAGUAGAACGCUGAAGGAGGAGCUUGCUUCUCCGGAUGAGUUGCGAACGGGUGAGUAACGCGUAGGUAACCUGCCUGGUAGCGGGGGAUAACUAUUGGAAACGAUAGCUAAUACCGCAUAACAGUAGAUGUUGCAUGACAUUUGCUUAAAAGGUGCAAUUGCAUCACUACCAGAUGGACCUGCGUUGUAUUAGCGAGUUGGUGAGGUAACGGCUCACCAAGGCGACGAUACAUAGCCGACCUGAGAGGGUGAUCGGCCACACUGGGACUGAGACACGGCCCAGACUCCUACGGGAGGCAGCAGUAGGGAAUCUUCGGCAAUGGACGGAAGUCUGACCGAGCAACGCCGCGUGAGUGAAGAAGGUUUUCGGAUCGUAAAGCUCUGUUGUAAGAGAAGAACGAGUGUGAGAGUGGAAAGUUCACACUGUGACGGUAUCUUACCAGAAAGGGACGGCUAACUACGUG
rnacentral:rRNA from 1 species